GCAUCAGUAGCUCAGCUCAGAGCACCGGCCUUGUAAGCCGGGCGUCGAGGGUUAAAAUCCCUCCUUUUGCU
rnacentral:tRNA from 1 species